rnacentral:rRNA from 1 species
UACGUAGGGGGCGAGCGUUAUCCGGAAUUACUGGGCGUAAAGCGCACGCAGGCGGCUCGCCAAGUUUGGUGUGACAGUUGUCGGCUCAACCGACAAAGGACUUCAAAAACUGGUGAACUUGAGGACGAGAGAGGAACAUGGAACUCCAGGUGUAGUAGUGUAAUGCGUAGAUAUCUGGAAGAACACCAAUGGCGAAGGCAAUGUUCUGGCUCGUUUCUGACGCUCAGGUGCGAAAGCCAGGGGAGCGAACGGG